CUAUUGAUGACUCCCCACUCACACCAACAUUCCUUAGAAAAGCUAAACAAAAUGAGUGAGAACUCCCUCCAUCUAACUCGAAGAUUAGCAUGG